AACGGUUAUAUAUGGGGUCUUAACGCGAGAUCCAUUUUUGCAGUGUUUUUCAUUUUAGGGGUUUAUUGAUGAGCGAUAUGCACUCGCUGCUGAUAGCGGCAAUUUUGGGUGUGGUCGAAGGAUUGACAGCCCCGUACACAAAAGCGCAUGUGCUGUGAGCUCGAUGAGUAGGGCGGGACACGUGGUAUCCUGUCUGAAUAUGGGGGGACCAUCCUCCAAGGCUAAAUACUCCUGACUGACCGAUAGUGAA
rnacentral:rRNA from 1 species